GGGGGGGGGUGGUGGUGUUUCUUUGGUGACCCUGACAAAGACAAAGAUCCCCAAACGUAGCCUCUUAACAGACUGUAGGGGCAGGUGCUGUUGGCAGCGAGUGGCAGCAGCGCCCGUGAAAGCUUACCGGCACUGUUGGCACACCCAUCCGCCUUUGUCUCCCCGGUAACGUCUCGGCCUCGGGCGAGUACCUGGGUGUGGGCCCGGGUACUCAUUUGAGGCCGGGUCGACCUAGGGGAGGCCCAGGACCGGAAUCGAACUCGGGACGUAGCCGUCAGCUCAGCCGCUAACCGCUUGCCCUGAGCACAGAGGGGGUGUUUCGGCAACAACCACCAGUUAUCAUCGUCAUCGUCAUCGUCCGCGGUGAAUGCCGAUCGGAUGCGGG